rnacentral:rRNA from 1 species
AUGGAUACGCGGUGCGAGGCGGAGAACCUGAAGGGGCUGACCGGCGUGUCACCGUUUCCGCUGGAUCCAGGCCUCGCCCCGCUGCUGCUAUUCGACGACCAACAUGACGGCGAGGCAAGCGGCGACGGCACCAUAUUCCUGUAUAGCAUCCCGAAGAGGCAGUUGCUGGCCAGGAAAGCCGACGGUUUCAGAGGCCAUCGUUACUGGCUAACGCCUCAAGGAUGGGUGCUGAUGCUGCAUCUCGAAUCGCACCACCCUUUCCUCUGGAACCCAUCAACCCUCGAGAGGAUCAGCUUACCUCCAGACCAAGAGAAUCUCCUUCAAGCCGCACAAAGCAGCAGGAGGAAGCCAAUGGUUCAAGCACGAGCACGAGCACGGCAAAAGCUUCAAUGA